GGCCAGUUCUCAACCAACUCGAGGCUCGGGUUUGGCAUUUUCGCGGAGCUUGUACCGGUACAAGGGCCCGUGUACCGGUACAAGGUGGCUGAAUGUGAGCAGUUUGGUCUGCAGGGGUGUUUUUGCUAUUGUAGCAUUUCUAUAAGUGCACCCCACGCCCCUUAGGGCCUCCCCUGUGCAGAGACCAGCAGGAGUUGAGGUAGGAGGAGCUCUCUCUCCCUUCCUUUGCAUUUUUACUCCUUUUGCUUGGUUUUUAUUGGGUUUUCUCUCCUCUAUUUGCAUCUUGGUGGCUUCUCCACCAUUGUUGAUGGCUUAGAGCUUGGAGAGGAGCUAGUGGCUGCGGAGAUCUUCAACAUCACUUGGAUUGGAGCUAAGUUUGGAGCUUCUUGAGAGGUUAGAGACUUGAUUUCUCCCUUUGAUCCUUGAUUUGAGGUUUUUGUGAGAUCAAACCCUAGAAAUGGAAAUUUAGGGUUUACUUGGGCAUUUUCGUUUUAGGGCUUUUGAGGCUUGAUUCUUUGGAUUAGAACCUUCCUCUAGAUUGGAUUGGAAGGAUUCUAGCCUCCUUUUUGAGCUUGUGAAGAGAUUUUCCAUAAGAGGUGAGUUUUUGCCCUUAGUAUGAGAUGGUUAAUGUUUGAGCUAUUGAUUGUUCGUUUCAUUCGAGUAACGCUUGUUCCUACAUCCUUAGGGUAUUAGGAGACUAGAGGACACCCUCGUUGGAGCAAACGAGGAGUUUCGUUGUCAUCGGUGGGUUUGGCUUCUUUGAAAUGGGAGGAAAUUCCUCCUAUGCGGUUAAAUGCUUUCAUUUACCAUAAGUUCAUGCAUAUUCAUGUUUAGUAGCAUUUAUGAGAAUUUUUGAAUGCUUAGAACUCAUAUGUUAUGCAUCAAGAAAAUUUACUCUAUAUAGUAGAGAGAGACAAUGUGCUUUGUUAAUAUGCAUGCGGCGAACAUUCUAUGAGAUGGUAGGAAAUCAAGUUUCUUGCUUCGAUUUUGACUAGAAUUAUAAGUGCUUGAACUUAGUAUCCAUGUUGGGACAAAAUGAGCCAUAGUGUCAUAAAGAGGCACUUGGCCGAGAGAAUUAUUAAACUGCAACAUAGAGGCUUGAUAAUAGGCCACGUUGACAUCAACUAUAUUCCAUAUUUAAGAUAUGAUGAAAUAGUGACUUGGCCACGAUGACAUUUACUAUAUUCCAUGUUUGAGACAUGACGACCUAGAGAUAGGCCUAUGAGAUUGGUGACAUAUUCCAUGUUAUUAGACAUGAGGACUUGGUACUUGUGACAGAUCGUUUGACUACUUGCCAUUGUGCUCAUUCGCACAUGCUUGUGAGGGUCGCUCCCUACAAGCCGGCACUCCGGAGAUAGCCAUCGCGAUUCAUAUUCGCCGUGCGGGAUUGGGCGCCGAAGUGGAUUGCCGUGGGCCAGGCUCAUUCCUAGGGUGGGGAUGAUGACUACCACGGGGCCAUUAGGCUCGGCACCGGCCAGACAGCCUACGGGUGGAUCUCAGGGCCUUAGACAGCCUUCGGGUGGGUCUCUUCAGAUUUGACUUUGGGUACUUCACUAUGACAUGUGGACAGAUGAUGACUUAGUAUAUUGACUAGAAUAGUAAACAUUGACAUUUUACUAUUUAGCUUGUGGACAUUGUGCUUUUGAGGUAUUGGUACAUACGUAUUAAAAUAGCUUUCUUACUUAUGCCAAAUUCAUGCUAAGUAGAAGUAGCCUAUGGUAGUAAGCAUUCAUGUUUAGUUAUCAGUUGCAUUAAUUGCUUUUAUUAUACUCGUACACUGACCUUCUUUUUGUAGCUUUUGGGCCUCGUGGCGCAGUUCACUGAAGUCAGUAAUUGCCCAUUGAGAACUAUUUUUAAUAGUUCUCACGCCCCCGUUUUGUGGUUUUCGUUUCAGAGCCUUCUGUACCGGCGGAGGCACGGGAUCGCGGCAAAGGGAUCGCCUAGCUAGUUAGCCGCGGAGCUUGCUUUUACCUAGGUGGUUUUUCUCAUUCUUUUUGUAGUUAAGAGAGAGAGAGAUUUUGUAUCCAUGUAUAGAGACCACCUGUGUAUCUACUUUAGCACUUGUAUUUGGGAUUUUCUUGUACUACUUUAUGUUUUAUUAGUAUAUUUCAGCUUUAUACUUCUUACCUGGUGUAGAAACUAAACUUUUAACAUGCUCUGAUACUCCUAGAUGUCUCCUAUUACUGCUUUUAUUAUCGUUGUUUUUAGACGCCUUAUGCGUUUUAGACGUAUGGCGGGUCUGGGCACGCGCCGGGCGGGCUUCCGCUGGGUCCCAUGGCGUAACAGAAGGACAAGGUACCCCUCGCCACCCACUGCCUCGAGAAGGCGGCGAAAGUAUGGUGGAAGCGGUGGAAGCGGUUGAAACGGGAUCGGCCCUCUGACCUUCUACCAAUGCUCUGGGAGGAGUUUAAGGGGACAAUGUUUAGAAAUUACUUUUCC
rnacentral:lncRNA from 1 species